rnacentral:rRNA from 1 species
GACAGAGGGUGCAAACGUUGCUCGGAAUUACUGGGCGUAAAGCGCGUGUAGGCUGACCGGAAAGUCGGGCGUGAAAUCCCUGGGCUCAACCCAGGAACUGCACUCGAAACUCCCGGUCUUGAGUGGUGGAGAGGGAAGUGGAAUUCCUGGUGUAGAGGUGAAAUUCGUAGAUAUCAGGAGGAACACCAGUGGCGAAGGCGGCUUCCUGGACACCAACUGACGCUGAGACGCGAAAGCGUGGGGAGCGAACGGG